UACGUAGGUGGCAAGCGUUGUCCGGAUUUACUGGGUGUAAAGGGCGUGUAGCCGCGCUGACAAGUCAGAUGUGAAAUCCGGGGGCUCAACCCCCGAACUGCAUUUGAAACUGUUGGUCUUGAGUAUCGGAGAGGCAGGCGUAAUUCCUAGUGUAGCGGUGAAAUGCGUAGAUAUUAGGAGGAACACCAGUGGCGAAGGCGGCCUGCUGGACGACAACUGACGGUGAGGCGCGAAAGCUGGGGGAGCGAACAGG
rnacentral:rRNA from 1 species